UACGUAGGUGGCAAGCGUUAUCCGGAUUCACUGGGUGUAAAGGGAGCGUAGACGGCGACGCAAGUCUGGAGUGAAAGCCCGGGGCCCAACCCCGGGACUGCUCUGGAAACUGCGUCGCUGGAGUACGGGAGGGGCAGGCGGAAUUCCUAGUGUAGCGGUGAAAUGCGUAGAUAUUAGGAGGAACACCAGUGGCGAAGGCGGCUUACUGGACGGCAACUGACGCUGAGGCUCGAAAGCGUGGGGAGCAAACAGG
rnacentral:rRNA from 1 species